GGGGCUGUAGCGCAGCUGGUAGCGCACCUCGUUCGCAACGAGGGGGUCGGGGGUUCGAGUCCCCUCAGCUCCACCA
rnacentral:tRNA from 1 species